ACUCCUAGGCCUGAGUCAUGCUGGCCGAGUGAGUUGUCUGCACACAGAUGCCAGUCAUUGCUCUGACCAGGGGGAGCACACAAGCUCCAUCUCCUUUUAUGGGCCUGUGUGGAUAUUCCCAGCUGAGAAUCAGGAGCUGUGAGUAGGGCCGGCCAGGGCAUCUCUCAUUCCAGCUUUCAGUAGCCUAAGGGGUAUGGGGUCUGGAGGAAGGAGACUGGGCUGUGUGAAGGUGUAGGUUUGUACCCCUUACCCCCUCUUUCUUCAGAAGGCCCGCAGCCUCUAAAGACCAUCUAAGACUGGCUUGCCAUUUGUCACACCUCCCUUUCCCCACCCACUGCCUUCAACAAGCCUGCCAGAUUCCUCUUCCAUCUCUACCCACGAGUUUUGGCCGUUAAAAGCAGGUCCACAUACGUGGCCAUUGCCUAUGCUGUUCAGCCAAAGGACUGGGAUCAGCUGCCACCUGCAUCCCUAGGGAAGGCAAGAACUCCUGACAGAGACUCGGCAGCCUGUAUGCCUGAACCAGAUUCACUUCGACCCUGACUCAUCCUCAGCGUGGCCUUGGGGCUCUCCCUCAUCUCUGACCCCUCCAACAACACCCCCAGUUGGGGCCUCCUCCACUGGGGUUCCUCUGGGACUUUUGACCUGGUUGGCGGGGUGGAGAACCUCCCUUCCUCCCGGAUGAAGCCCAGAAACAGCCUGAGCUGGUUUUGGUUCCUCUUCUUCACACCUCCAUGGUGAAUGAGAUGGUCCACGUGGACGGGCUGUGUAGCCUGUGACGCUCGGUCACACUGAAGUCAUGGUGUGUGGUGAUCAUCUAUGGAGAGGGGGCAUAAAGCCAGCUCUGGGGCUUGGGCCAGCCUCACCCUGUGCUAGAGCAGUGUCCCCUCCUGGCUGGUAUGCAGGGUGGGACUGGAGGUGUACUUUAUGACCAGGCUCUGUGGGUGCCCCAGCUCAGGCCCUGGUUCUGUUGGGGGGAGGCUCUCAGAUCAAGGUUCCCAUAGACAGGAUCUGAUCUAGGUCUGCCUGGAUCUGCCUUUCCAGCAGGAUGGGUCCCUGGAAUGCCCAGAACCUGGAAUCUUCUUGUUCCCAGUUCUUAGCCAUCUAGAUUUUCUCCUAUUUGGACCAUUCAUUCAUGAGAAUUAGCAGCCCCUUUUCUCCAGCACCCCCGGCCCCUGCCUUGAAGAAGUGGACAUUGUAAGCAGCUAGAGUUGGUCUUCGAGUUCUAGAGGACAAAUAGAAUACGGAAUGACGAACCUGGCUUAUGGCCAGGCACUCCCAGUUUCUUUUUUUUUUUUUUUCUGGCAAGUUUGUAUAAUCAAAAACCCCCAGUUCUUAACCCAACAUUAAAAUGGAAAACCCAGUGUUCAAGGAAUGUGAACCAAUGUUAGGUAUGGGCAAGGACAAGGAGGAGAAUAGGAAGCAGAAGAAAUAGUGAAGAAUCUGCACUGACUCCAGAGGGAAAUGGUGAGCUAAGGCUGUUACCGAAUCACAGAUCAAUAAAUAGUUAUUGAGAAGCUACUA